CCUCCUCCUCCUCCUCCUGCUCCUCCUGCUCCUCCGGCUGUGGUCUUGUCUCCAAACCCAGCCUCCGGCCCCGGAGGGGACAGGGCCUCGGACCUCGGCCCGCGCCAGGUCUUCCCGCAGAGCGCCCUCCUCUCGUUGCUCCCGGCAGGCCGGGCUGGCUCCCGCAGGCUCCGCCACUCCCCAGUGGAAACAGCUCCUCCUCCCAGCUCACUGGGUGUCGGGCGCCCUCCUCCCCAUCCUGCUCCGACCACCUGGAGCUGUCAGCGCCUGCUUAGCCUGCGAACAGGUGACUGACAGACUUGAUCCUCACGGUGCCACGGAGCCUUCCAGAAAGCAACGGGAGGCCACGGUUCUGGGGCUGGCCCCCGCCUUGGCCCUCCGGCCUGCUCAGCUGCCCGUAGCACAGAGCGCAGUGACCCCCCACCCACCUCGGAGGACCCCAGGGCGGGGCCCAUGAAGACUUCGUUCUUGAACCCCGGGGCGCUACCACAAAGGGAGAGCGUGGUGAGUACUGAAGCCGUGAGAAUUUGCUGGAUGGACGGGUGAACUGCAGGCAGGUGGAUGGCUGGGUGGAUGCCCGGACAGAUGUGUGGAUACAUAGAUUAUGGAUGCAUGGGUGCAUGGGUGCAUGGGUGGAUCCCUGGAUGGGUGCAUGACAGAUGGCUCCCUGGAUGAACUGGUGGAAGGGCAGACGGACGAGCUGGUCCAUGGGUGAAUUGACGAGUGGAUGGAUGGGUGCGUAGAACAAAGAAUCCAAUUGGGCCCGGGGGGACUGCUAGAUGGGUAGAGUCAGCCCCCUGCAGAGGCUGAGCGCUCAGUAGGUGCUGGGUGCUUGUGUCUGAGUGUGUGUGUGUGCGUGCACGCAUGCACGCUCUGGCCUCUGUUGCUAGGGAGGGAUUGCUUUGCCUGUGUCCGUGGCCAUCACCGUGGCCAUCACCGUAGGCAUCCUAACAUCAGCAUCAACGCCAGACGUGUUUUCCGAUGGGAGCCCCGCGUGGGGGCACCGGCCAGCUCCUCGCACAGCUGGGUGUGAGCCGUGUCCCCAGUCCCCUGUCAGGAAGGGACUGUGCCCACGGGCUCUGAGUGGGCAGGGCCUGCAUCGGGGUCAGGACCCUCCCCAGCACCGCCCGAGGCUGUGCGCUAGU
rnacentral:lncRNA from 1 species